ensembl:lncRNA
CAUGUAUGCUUAUGGAUUUCAAGGGCGUAACCAUGUCUUAAACAUUAAUGUGAUGGACCAAACCAAUUUUUGUCUAAUAUGUCAAAAAUAGCUCUAGUAUUGAUUUUUGCCACAUCACAUUCAGUUAUGAAUUACAUGCAUCACUUAAAAGACCCAUAUUUUCAAAUUCAAAACAGCAAAAUUUGCAUCACUGCAACUACUUAACAUUUCUAUUUAAAAUACUUACUGUAAUAAAUGUUUAGCUACUUACUGUACAUCUUACCUUGCCCUCAUUUUCACUGGAAUUCAUGUCUUUGAUUUAAUUUGGCCAUCUCAAUCAUUUUGACAUUGCUAAGACCACUAAGGAAGACCACCCUUAAAAAUGUACGUUAAAAACUUUUUGUCAUCCUACAAACAAAGUGGUGUAAUGCAGCAGAGCAGAAUAUAAAAGAAUAUAAAAUAUUGGGGUGAACAAUUUGGUCACAUCUGAUUAUUGGAGGGACUUGUCCAUGGUGGUCACAGCCCUGUGUUGGGUGAAGUUUUAUCUUUUCAAUGCAUUAAAUUGAAAUUUAAUGCAUUGAAAUGCAUUUUAAUGCGUAUUUACUUUUGUCUCAGGAUGCAUACCAACAGUUUCUGUUACUUUGUUUAAGAGCUUUAUGAAAGUUUCAUCACACUCACAACAUGUCUUGACAGAUCCGCCAAGAACAUAAGCUCAGGAUUUUAGGAAUGGCACCGGAAAUGGAGCAGUUGUCAGAGGGUGAUUGAGAAGUAUGGGAGUCGGAAUGUGGGCGGCCCCAGAAACGUGUUUUUAGUUUAACGUGACAAAUCGACUUGCAGGUUUCAAGUCAGUUGUGAGAAAAUCAAGGUGCUUUGAAGAGUUUCACGUGUUCUGACUACUGAAAGAAACAGAGUACCGGACGUGAUAAAUUCAUUAUCAAUGAACCUGUAUAGGAAUUUUGGGAAUCUCCUGGAGAGCUGGGUGACUGAAGGCUACCAGGAUUUAUACUUACAUCCUGGACCUGGUGUGGACAGAUUAGAUUCCAUUUCUAGGGACUCCGUCCCACUAUGCAAUGUAAAAUCAGAAUCCGAGGACUCCGGAUUUGAGACGGUUAGUACAACCAGUCCCUGUCAUUCUCACCAGUGUAGUGCAUUGAUGUCUGAGGAAUCACAGACAGUUUUUGGCUCUACGGAGGAUGAGGUUCAACCUUCAUCCCCAUCUCCUUCUAUUUGCUCCUCCUCAUCCUCAAGUGUCGAUCUCAGCUCUGUGGCUCCAAAAACAACAUGUCUGGAGGUGGAGCAAGCCUUAAGAAGGACAAAUUCACCCUCAUGGAGAAGACCGCCACAUCAGAUGGAAAGGGGGACCACUGGGCCAUGGUAUUGCUCUUACACGGCCUCUUUUCCAACCAGCAUUCACUCAAACAGCUCCAGACCACAUCAUUGGUUUGCUCGUCCAAGAAGAUCUCAUUCACAACCACCAGACCCCAAGAAAGCAGCGCUGUACAGAAAACGCCUAAAAUUACAUCAACAUUGCCAACCAGUACAUAGCCAGUUGGAGCAGCUUGUGGACAGUGAUCAAUACAGUCUGGACAAGCUGUCUCCAGGGUUGCGGUACCUGGAGCAGGUAUGCAGGAUGCUGGAGAACAUUGCAAAGCUACAGCAGCAAAACUACUGCCUGCAGAAAGAGGUGGAGAUCCUGAAGAGUCAGCAUGCUGGAAUAGAGUGUGGAAGCUUGCAUAAGGAGGAAAUGAGCUGUCCUGGCAGGCAAGGUUUGCAGAUUCUGGGUCAUGAAGAUCCACUCAGCAAAUCGACUCACCUACAAGAGCCCAUGGUGUUUCGUCACAGAUCAGUAUCUGACACUCAGGCAGCUGUCGGCCGUCACAGGAGAGCAAGGUUUAUUCGAGAUGAACCUAUUACAGAAGUCUUAGUCGAGGAACCUGAUGGUAAAGAUCCUCCACCAGGAAUUGAGCACAAAAAGCCGAGUAAGAUGCAUAAGCUGAAAUUCACAUCCUUUAGAAGGCAGGAAACACAACAGUCUGACAAAGAAAGCAAAAGCUUUCAGCCUAAGAAGAAAACAAGAAUGCCAAGCUUUUUCAGUAGGAGUAGAAGUAUGACGACACGUCUCUAACAUUAAUGCCACAUUGAUGCCUAGUAAUGGUGGCAGAAGCACCCCUCCCAUUUACCUAGGGACUUUAGCACUUUUAUAUGUAUAGCUUGUUUAGGUCAAGUAUUUAAGGCUACACUUAAAUAAAGUACUGAGUAGUUCUAAUAGUCUUUAUAUA